rnacentral:rRNA from 1 species
CCUACGGUGAGCAGCAGUGAGGAAUAUUGGUCAAUGGGCGCGAGCCUGAACCAGCAAAGUAGCGUGAAGGAUGACUGCCCUACGGGUUGUAAACUUCUUUUAUAAAGGAGUAAAGUGAGGCACGUGUGCAUAUGUGUAUGUACUUUAUGAAUAAGGAUAGGCUAACUCCGUGCCAGCAGCCGCGGUAAUACGGAGGAUCCGAGAGUUAUCCGGAUUGAUUGGGUGUAAAGGGAGCGUAGAUGGGUUGUUAAGUCAGUUGUGAAAGUUUGCGGCUCAACCGUAAAAUUGCAAUUGAUACUGGCAGCCGUGAGGACAGUUGAGGUAGGCGGAAUUCGUGGUGUAGCGGUGAAAUGCGUAGAUAUCACGAAGAACUCCGAUUGCGAAGGCAGCUUACUAAACUGCCACUGACAUUGAUGCUCGAAAGUGUGGGUAUCAAACAGGAUUAGAUACCCCAGUAGUC